rnacentral:rRNA from 1 species
UACGUAGGGUGCAAGCGUUAAUCAGAAUUACUGGGCGUAAAGCGUGCGCAGGCGGUUCUGUAAGUCUGUCGUGAAAUCCCCGGGCUUAACCUGGGAAUUGCGAUGGAGACUGCAAGGCUAGAAUCUGGCAGAGGGGGGUAGAAUUCCACGUGUAGCAGUGAAAUGCGUAGAGAUGUGGAGGAACACCGAUGGCGAAGGCGGCAUCCUGGACCGACACUGACGCUGAUGAGCGAAAGCCAGGGGAGCAAACGGG